AUUUAACUUCUCACGAAGUUGCACUUGAUUCGUGGAUAGUGCAAUCACCGGAAGAGGAAGCGAACACAUCGGCGAGACGAGGGUUCCAAACGGAGGAAUAAACACAAUAAGCGUGUUCUUUGAAAGUGCGAACGGAAAUGGGACGAUCGAGAGUUUAUAAUUUGACGGUGUCAUCCCAUGAACCGAAGAGGAAAGAGUCACGACAAACGGGGUUAAGCGGUGGCGACGGCUAUGGGGUUUUCGUAGAAUGGUCUGAACUUGACGGAGUAACUGUUGAAUGGGGUUUUGAAAACCGGCAUCAUUUUGAGAAUCGGAGUUUGGUCAGGUGAAAGAGUGAGUAUUAGGUGUUUGAUGUUAUGCGCCUGAGGUCAAAUUUCCCACUUGAACCUACAUGAUGAAUUGCUUCUCUUCAAAGAUGUUAUUGCGAAGGUUACUUAUGAUGUAUGUAUGACUACUUUAAGUAUUUGAGCUUGAGUUUUAUCUCCUUAUUCCCAAUAAAGAGUUGCCUCUGUAUAUUUACUUCUACUUUUAGUUUGGAACAUUCAGCAUUUUCCCAUCUUCUAUUUAGGGAUAUAAAUGUAGUUUUUGUCACAAUAUAAAAAAGUCCUCUUUAGAUCGCUGUUUACGACCCUUUUUUUCUUGACCUGGCUUUGUUAAAGUUGUAUAAACUUUUAGAAUUAGGCAUUAAAAUCUUUGCUCCUGUAAGACCUCACACAACGACUAAAGGAGAGGAAUUUGGAAUGUCAAGGGUUAUGGGGAAAGGUGUUAAUUCUUUAGGAAUAAGCAUAUAGAAGGGAGAGAGAAGGAUCUGGGGGAGUUAGUCAAGAAUUGAGUAAGCUAAAAAGGUUCGGUUAUCAAUGCAGUGGCAGAGUUUGAGACAUAGUAAUCAUAUAAAAGAUGGUAAGAGCAGUAACUGAUAAUGGAAUCUGUAGCAGAAAGAAAUCAUCAAGAGGUCACCACAGAUUUGUAGGAGUUCUUCAAAGACCAUCAGGAAGAUGGGUGGCAGAGAUCAAAGACUCUAUAUAGAAAAUUAGGCUCUGGCUCGGUACAUUUGAUACAGCUGAAGAUGCAGCUCGUGCUUAUGACACUGCUGCAUGAGCUUUAAGAGGUGCUAAUGCAUGAACAAACUUUGAUUUGCCACAAGCUGCAACCAGUGGUGUUGGUGGUGGCGCCAAACAUGGUGCUAGUUCAACUUUCAAGAUGGAAAACACUGAACCCUUUUCUUUUGAGGAUGUAAAUGAAUCUGUGUCAGAUUCAAAUUGUUUUCUUGGUGCACUAAAAGCAAAACUUUUUGAUGGAAAAGAAGAGAAGUUUUUUUCAUUUCCUUU